GUUAGGAGUGAAAGGAAAGAUUGAACUGUGCCCACUUGCAUGUUUUAUUUCAUCUUUGUGUAAUGACUUUGGAACUUAUAAAUCAUAAAUUUGUCUUUCUUCAUUUUACUUUCUCAAUUUUAAAACUUCUCUGUGGAGUUCAUGGGAAUCCAAAAACUUCCACUGAAACCUGGAUGGUUGGAAUCGGAGAUGGCAUUUAUUUAAUUUUGUCAGGAACUAUUCUAAGCACUUUCUUGUAUUAUCUCAUUUAAUUCUCACAACAAACUUCUGAAGAAGGUAAAAUUAUUUUUUUGUUUUACCAAUGAGGAAACAAACCUACAAAAAAGAAGCAACCUAUUUAAGGUUGCACAACAUAUGGUAAGACAAAAUCUAACCCACGAACACUUAAUCUGGAGUCUUGCAGUCUAUUAUUUUGCCACACUGCAAACACUUCCAUGAUUUAUAACACCUCAAAUCUUGGUACCAGAUACUCUAACUUCUGGGUAGAAUGUUCUUUCUUUUUGUUUCUUCCUAUCAUUUGAAAAUCAAUUCACCACAUUAUCUCCUCUAAAAGAAAUGUUUCUUCUUUAUCACCUCUCUCCCCACCUUAGUCUUAUUUUCAUGCUCCAAUGGCUAGAUUAACUAAUUUCUGUCUCCCACUAGACCCCGAGCCUCUUGAAAGCAAGAACCUCAUCUUCUUGAUAUCUGUAUUCCAAUGCUUAACCUGUUACCUUACAUAAAAAGUACUGAGAAUAAUUUGUUGAAUGAGUUAAAGAUGAAUGAAGAAGUUUGAAAGCCAAAGGUACCCUGCAGUACUGAUGUAGAAAUAACAGAAACUUUAAGAAAUGGGAAACACAGUAGUCAAAGAUUUAAUUACGUUCUUCUAAGUCUUUCUUCCUCUGAGGCUAAGAAUAAUUGCCACUGGUGGGAAGGAUAACUGGGUCUAUUGAAGAAUGAAAAGAAAAAUCCCAAUGGGUAAUUUUUUAAAAAUUUUGCUUCACACAUAAAGAAUUCCUAAAACAUCCAAUAGCAAAAUUCCUUCCUUGUUGCCCUUUAUGACUCCUUGUGUUUAUACUUAUUCUCAAGGCUACUUUUUAAAAGCAACUGGAGACUGUGAUUUACAGCUUUGGACCAGAAAAUCUCAGAAAAAAGCCCUACACUAAGUCUUGCUCUCGUAAGUUUGAAACAUCUCGAAAACCAUGUUCUUCCCCUCCACUAAAUUGCCGCUUCCAUCACCCACAACUCCUACCAGGAAAUAGCAGAACCAAUACUUGCCAGGAGAGUUUCUUAA
rnacentral:lncRNA from 1 species